CCCCGUUUAUAUAAUUUUAAAAGUUCUAAUGAGACAAGAUGCUCCCCCUCAAUUCAUUGCUCUAAUUUUUCUUGCUCAAUAUUUCUCUCUCCCUUUUUGUCAUCAACAAAAAGAGUCAAACAAGGUUACCACAAUAAUAUCAAUAAUAAAAGUGAUACCACAAAGUUAUAUCAUUAUAAAUGCAAUAAGGAUAAUUAUAAGUAAGCAUGCAAAUGAUAUCAAAAGAUUUAAAAAGGAUCACAUAUUCCU
rnacentral:lncRNA from 1 species